AUUGAACGCUGGCGGCAGGCCUAACACAUGCAAGUCGAGCGGAGCGGCGGACGGGUGAGUAAUGACUAGGAAUCUGCCUGGUAGUGGGGGAUAACGUCAGGAAACGGGCGCUAAUAUCGCAUACUAUGAGAUGAGCAUAGGUCGGAUUGGGUAGUUGGGGGGGUAAAGGGCUACAAGGGCGACGAUCGGUAACUGGUCUGAGAGGAUGAUUAGGCAAACUGGAACUGAGACACGGUCCAGACUCCUACGGGAGGCAGGAGUGGGGAAACUGGGACAAUGGGCGAAAGCCUGAUCCAGCCAUGGCGCGGGUGUGAAGAGGGUCUUCGGAGUGUAAAGCACUUUAAGCUGGGAGGCGUUACCAACAGAAUAAGCACCGGCUAACUUCGUGCCAGCCGCCGCGGUAAUUC
rnacentral:rRNA from 1 species